rnacentral:rRNA from 1 species
UUUCCUGCUCCUGUUGAGUUUAUUGCUGCCGUCAUUGCUUAUUAUGUUCAUCCCGUCAACAUUCAAACGGCCUGUCUCAUCAUGGAAGGCGCUGAAUUUACGGAAAACAUUAUUAAUGGCGUCGAGCGUCCGGUUAAAGCCGCUGAAUUGUUCGCGUUUACCUUGCGUGUACGCGCAGGAAACACUGACGUUCUUACUGACGCAGAAGAAAACGUGCGUCAAAAAUUACGUGCAGAAGGAGUGAUGUAAUGUCUAAAGGUAAAAAACGUUCUGGCGCUCGCCAUGGUCGUCCGCAGCCGUUGCGAGGUACUAAAGGCAAGCGUAAAGGCGCUCGUCUUUGGUAUGUAGGUGGUCAACAAUUUUAAUUGCAGGGGCUUCGGCCCCUUACUUGAGGAUAAAUUAUGUCUAAUAUUCAAACUGGCGCCGAG